rnacentral:rRNA from 1 species
UACGGAGGAUCCGAGCGUUAUCCGGAUUUAUUGGGUUUAAAGGGUGCGUAGGCGGUUUGAUAAGUUAGAGGUGAAAUGUCGGGGCUCAACCCCGGAACUGCCUCUAAUACUGUUGGACUAGAGAAUAGUUGCGGUAGGCGGAAUGUAUGGUGUAGCGGUGAAAUGCUUAGAGAUCAUACAGAACACCGAUUGCGAAGGCAGCUUACCAAACUAUAUCUGACGUUGAGGCACGAAAGCGUGGGUAGCAAACAGG